rnacentral:rRNA from 1 species
CGGACGGGUGAGUAACGCGUGGGUAACCUGCCUUAAACAGGGGAGUAACAGUCAGAAAUGGCUGCUAAUACCGCAUAAGCGCACAGAGCUGCAUGGCUCAGUGUGAAAAACUCCGGUGGUAUAAGAUGGACCCGCGUUGGAUUAGCUUGUUGGCGGGGUAACGGCCCACCAAGGCGACGAUCCAUAGCCGGCCUGAGAGGGUGAACGGCCACAUUGGGACUGAGACACGGCCCAGACUCCUACGGGAGGCAGCAUG